CGGGACGGGUGGAGUAAUGUCUGGGAAACUGCCUGAUGGAGGGGGGUAACUACUGGAAACGAUAGCUAAUACCGCAUAACGUCGCAAGACCAAAGAGGGGGACCUUAGGGCCUCUUGCCAUCGGAUGUGCCCAGAUGGGAUUAGCUUGUUGGUGGGGUAACGGCUCACCAAGGCGACGAUCCCUAGCUGGUCUGAGAGGAUGACCAGCCACACUGGAACUGAGACACGGUCCAG
rnacentral:rRNA from 1 species